rnacentral:lncRNA from 1 species
GUCAGUGCUAGAAGUUCUGACACAUAUGUAUAAUAUAUAUAUGUGUGUGUGUGUGUGUGUUUCUUUUGAAGUUAUAUAAAUUCUUUUUUUUUUUCCUGACUCGCAGAUUGCAUUACGCUUCUCAGAACUUUCAUUCUCCGUCUCAGACCGUCUCGACAUAUGAUGCUGCAAAACAAUUUGAAAUAGAAACUCAUUUAAUCCCUUCAUAUUCAAGAAAUGCAGAACCUGAAGAGUAUGUUUUUAAUCCAAGUAACACUUCAAAGUUUGACGGAUGUGAACCUGAGGAAAUCUCUUCUCGGUGGAUGAUGAAUCAUAGUGAUAACUUUGACACAUUUUCUCUUGAUGAGCAAACCAGAGUUGUAGCUAAUGAUGUUCAGGAACAAACUGGUGCAGCAUCAUCUUGUAUUACUUGGGAUGAAAAGAUAGAAAUAGUGGAACCUACAGGACCACAAUAUCAUUUUAAUGAAAAUGUGUAUGGUCACCCUACGAAUUCUGACCCAAUUCUUUUAGAGGGGGAUGCUUCUAAUUUUGAAACUGAAUGCUGCAGUAACAAAAGCCCACCAAAAUCAGUCUGUGCUGCACAUCAAUUUGAUGAGUAUGAGAGUGACAUAGACAUUUACAUGGAUUCACGUAAUACCAUGGAGUCAGAAUCUGAAACUGAUUUAGAAUGUCAAACGAAGCGAGAAGUGGAGCAGUAUUCAGAUAUGAACACCAUAGCAAUCGAUGAAAAUCUAAAUAGGAUUAACCCUGAGUACAUGGAAAGCAAUUCUGCAAAUGCUCCUACUCAUGUUCCACCUCGUAUCUCCACAGAUGGUGAUAUUUCAGACAACCACCACCACUCAUUUGUCCUUGAAUCUAGCUCUGUCCUAAGCAAAGAAAUAUCCACUGCUAAGCCCAUUUCCGUAACCCCAGUAUGUAAUGCACAGGUACAGUCUCGUGACACAGGCAAAUCUUCAAUUCUGGACAGUCUGUCUUCUAGUGAGUUAAUCGAUAGUGAUGAUAUGACUAGCUCCAAAACAGAAACUGCUGUCAGAAAUUUGUCGUCCUUUGACUCGAAUGAACUAGUAAUUCAGGCUUUAAACAGUGAUAAAGUCUUAAGCAAUGCAUAUGGGUCACAAGAUUCUCCGUCACUGCCUUCUGUUACUGGAACAAACUUUUGGACAAAUGGUGGACUACUGGGGCUUCAACCAUCAAAACCCCCUGACUUCAGUACGCCAGGUCCUAUGAAUCAUGACUCCAUGGGUCCAAGCCGAGGUAAAACUUUUGAGGGCAAUAAACUUGCACCAGAAACCGAUAUCUCUGAGGGUUUUAAAGUGCCUAAACAGAAAAGUAGCUCUAAACACUGCAUAUCGCUCUAUAAUGAUCAGGAAGAUAGUACCUCUGUCAUGAAAACAUCUUUGAGUUCUUCACAAACUCAUUCAGAAAGUAAAAAUCAACAUACUGCCAUUUGUCAGCAUAAUGAUAGUCAGUUCCAGAAUCUACUUUUCUCUGAAGCCAGUAUUAUGAUACCUGGAACUAAAAAACCGGAUAAUCUGAAUUUUGAAGCUGCUAAAUCUCUUGGAUAUAUUGACAAGAAUUCAUCUCGGAUUUUUGAAUUAAGCAAUGAAGUACUUGAUAACAGUCAAGGUAAAGUAUGUUUUUCUCUUGAGGACAAUCCUCUCAACUCUUUCACAAGUGGUAUAUCUGAAAGAAAUAGUGUGCAUCAAACAUUUCAAACCUUCUCUGAUAGGAUCUUCACAGAGCAGUUUGGAACUAAAUUUUCAUUCAUAUCACCGUCAUCUUCUCCACCGCUUGAACAUAUGAAGAUAUCUUUUCAGCCUAUAGAUGGAUUUGAGGUAUCAAAGCUGAAACUGGAUUUCCCUGGUGGAAAUGAGUCUCUAGAAGGUGGUAGAGAUGUCUUUCCUUCUUUUCAACUAGUCCCAGAAGUGUCUCUUUCAUUGCUGGACAUUAAUUCAGACUCUGAUGACACUUUUUGUGAUUCAAAUUCUCACGGGUCAGAUGAUUCUAUCACUCAUUACUCAGUGUCAUAUUUUGAAGAAUGGGGAACAAUAGAAUAUCCUAAAUGCGAUGAUAGUGAUAUGUCUGAUGCUUUAUGCAUAAACUCAAUAGAAUCAGUUUCAAGUAACUUGGAUUUUGGGAGAAUUGCUCCGGGAGUAAUCACCAGCAAUAGUGGACUUCCAAAUCUAUUUUAUGAGAAAGUUAUGGAACAUUCAGAAACAGAUCUUCCAAGUUUUGAUACUUUAGAUGAUUCAAUCAAUGAGGAAUUACAGAAUGAUUCUAAAGCAAAGAUUGAACUGGAUUCAGGACCACUUAAGGAUUCCACACUGUCACCUACUCUCCCUCCAACAGAGUGCGGUAUGAACGAAAAUCCAGAUAUGGCAACUGAGAACCAAGUUCCUUCUGUUAAAGCCCUAAAACAUGAAUUUGAUCAGAAGCUUCAAUUUUCCACAAUCUCCCACCAACAGAAAGUAGAACCAUUUAAUCAUGGAAAUAUGGAGACAAUUGGAUGUACGAAAAAUAAAAAGGUACUUACCUAAUUGUCAAUUUUCAUGCAACUAUAUCAUGUCUUGUGUUUCGGCUGUAACAUACUAAUAUAUGACGUACAAAGUUGUGCAUGUUGGAGAAACUACCAUAAACUACUCAUGGUUAUGUAUAUGAUAUAUGCAGCAUCCAGAUGGCCAGAAGCUCAAUUUACAGANUUCAUUCUCCGUCUCAGACCGUCUCGACAUAUGAUGCUGCAAAACAAUUUGAAAUAGAAACUCAUUUAAUCCCUUCAUAUUCAAGAAAUGCAGAACCUGAAGAGUAUGUUUUUAAUCCAAGUAACACUUCAAAGUUUGACGGAUGUGAACCUGAGGAAAUCUCUUCUCGGUGGAUGAUGAAUCAUAGUGAUAACUUUGACACAUUUUCUCUUGAUGAGCAAACCAGAGUUGUAGCUAAUGAUGUUCAGGAACAAACUGGUGCAGCAUCAUCUUGUAUUACUUGGGAUGAAAAGAUAGAAAUAGUGGAACCUACAGGACCACAAUAUCAUUUUAAUGAAAAUGUGUAUGGUCACCCUACGAAUUCUGACCCAAUUCUUUUAGAGGGGGAUGCUUCUAAUUUUGAAACUGAAUGCUGCAGUAACAAAAGCCCACCAAAAUCAGUCUGUGCUGCACAUCAAUUUGAUGAGUAUGAGAGUGACAUAGACAUUUACAUGGAUUCACGUAAUACCAUGGAGUCAGAAUCUGAAACUGAUUUAGAAUGUCAAACGAAGCGAGAAGUGGAGCAGUAUUCAGAUAUGAACACCAUAGCAAUCGAUGAAAAUCUAAAUAGGAUUAACCCUGAGUACAUGGAAAGCAAUUCUGCAAAUGCUCCUACUCAUGUUCCACCUCGUAUCUCCACAGAUGGUGAUAUUUCAGACAACCACCACCACUCAUUUGUCCUUGAAUCUAGCUCUGUCCUAAGCAAAGAAAUAUCCACUGCUAAGCCCAUUUCCGUAACCCCAGUAUGUAAUGCACAGGUACAGUCUCGUGA